GUGACUCAAUUUCUGUUCUCUGUUAUGAUGUCCACCAUGAUGCCCUUCCUGAAUUGCAAGCAAGAAAUGAAGAUUCUCUCCAACAACAUUCUUCAUCUUUAAUGUUUCACUGAAUUUCAGAAGAUCAAGCUUCCUUGUCAUUCCAUUUUCUUUCAUGGUUAAAAGCAGCACACAGCCCUCUCUCUAGCACCAUCCUCGUAGAUUUCCCAGCCUGCAGACCCAGGAGCCAAAGCACGUUCUACAUUUGGCUGAUGGACCUGUCCAAGAAAAAUGUGUCAAAAUCUAUUUUCCGGUGAAUUUGAGAGUUUUGCUUUGUAAUUCUGUCAGUUGAUUCUUACUUUACAAAAGACUAUUGCUUGAAAGAUGGUGUAAUGG